rnacentral:rRNA from 1 species
GACAUAGGUGGCGAACGUUAUCCGGAAUUACUGGGCGUAAAGCGUGCGCAGGCGGUUCGUUAAGUUCGUUGUGAAAGCCCCGGGCUCAACCUGGGAACUGCAAUGGAAACUGGCGGGCUUGAAUGCGGCAGAGGGGGGUGGAAUUCCACGUGUAGCAGUGAAAUGCGUAGAUAUGUGGAGGAACACCGAUGGCGAAGGCAGCCCCCUGGGCUAACACUGACGCUCAUGCACGAAAGCGUGGGGAGCAAACAGG